GGCUCAAUGGUCUAGUGGUAUGAUUCGCGCUUCGGGUGGUCACCCACACCUGGGUAACAGGUGGAAGAUGUGCGAGGUCUCGGGUUCGAUCCCCGAUUGAGCCC